rnacentral:rRNA from 1 species
CUCGUAGGUGGCCAACUAAGUCAUGCGUGAAAUCCCUCGGCUUAACCGGGGAACUGCGUCUGAUACUGGAUGGCUUGAAUCCGGGAGAGGGAUGCGGGAAUUCCAGGUGUAGCGGUGAAAUGCGUAGAUAUCUGGAGGAACACCGGUGGCGAAGGCGGCAUCCUGGACCGGCAUUGACACUGAGGAGCGAAAGCCAGGGAGCAAACG